UUUGGGCUGCUUAGCUUUCAGAGGGAUGUGCUGCUGAUGUCUGUCCUUUUUAAAGAGAGCUAGAGCUGAAACCUUACUGGGAACUGGAAGAUGGAAACACAGCGGUGAGCCUGGAGCAGGGCGACGCCAGCCUGGAGGCCCUCUCUUCCUGCCCACAACCUCACCUCCUCACAUCUACACUGCACACUUGCACCGGCCUUCUUUCUGCUUCUUGGGACCACAGACUGAGAAGGGACCCCCAGUCCUGCUAGCUCCUUGCUUGGUCUC
rnacentral:lncRNA from 1 species